rnacentral:rRNA from 1 species
UUUUCCAGGCAAAUCCGGAAAAUCAAGGCUGAGGCGUGAUGACGAGGCACUACGGUGCUGAAGCAACAAAUGCCCUGCUUCCAGGAAAAGCCUCUAAGCAUCAGGUAACAUCAAAUCGUACCCCAAACCGACACAGGUGGUCAGGUAGAGAAUACCAAGGCGCUUGAGAGAACUCGGGUGAAGGAACUAGGCAAAAUGGUGCCGUAACUUCGGGAGAAGGCACGCUGAUAUGUAGGUGAAGCGACUUGCUCGUGGAGCUGAAAUCAGUCGAAGAUACCAGCUGGCUGCAACUGUUUAUUAAAAACACAGCACUGUGCAAACACGAAAGUGGACGUAUACGGUGUGACGCCUGCCCGGUGCCGGAAGGUUAAUUGAUGGGGUUAGCGGUAACGCGAAGCUCUUGAUCGAAGCCCCGGUAAACGGCGGCCGUAACUAUAACGGUCCUAAGGUAGCGAAAUUCCUUGUCGGGUAAGUUCCGACCUGCACGAAUGGCGUAAUGAUGGCCAGGCUGUCUCCACCCGAGACUCAGUGAAAUUGAACUCGCUGUGAAGAUGCAGUGUACCCGCGGCAAGACGGAAAGACCCCGUGAACCUUUACUAUAGCUUGACACUGAACAUUGAGCCUUGAUGUGUAGGAUAGGUGGGAGGCUUUGAAGUGUGGACGCCAGUCUGCAUGGAGCCGACCUUGAAAUACCACCCUUUAAUGUUUGAUGUUCUAACGUUGGCCCGUUAUCCGGGUUGCGGACAGUGUCUGGUGGGUAGUUUGACUGGGGCGGUCUCCUCCUAAAGAGUAACGGAGGAGCACGAAGGUUGGCUAAUCCUGGUCGGACAUCAGGAGGUUAGUGCAAUGGCAUAAGCCAGCUUGACUGCGAGCGUGACGGCGCGAGCAGGUGCGAAAGCAGGUCAUAGUGAUCCGGUGGUUCUGAAUGGAAGGGCCAUCGCUCAACGGAUAAAAGGUACUCCGGGGAUAACAGGCUGAUACCGCCCAAGAGUUCAUAUCGACGGCGGUGUUUGGCACCUCGAUGUCGGCUCAUCACAUCCUGGGGCUGAAGUAGGUCCCAAGGGUAUGGCUGUUCGCCAUUUAAAGUGGUACGCGAGCUGGGUUUAGAACGUCGUGAGACAGUUCGGUCCCUAUCUGCCGUGGGCGCUGGAGAACUGAGGGGGGCUGCUCCUAGUACGAGAGGACCGGAGUGGACGCAUCACUGGUGUUCGGGUUGUCAUGCCAAUGGCACUGCCCGGUAGCUAAAUGCGGAAGAGAUAAGUGCUGAAAGCAUCUAAGCACGAAACUUGCCCCGAGAUGAGUUCUCCCUGACUCCUUGAGAGUCCUGAAGGAACGUUGAAGACGACGACGUUGAUAGGCCGGGUGUGUAAGCGCAGCGAUGCGUUGAGCUAACCGGUACUAAUGAACCGUGAGGCUUAACCUUACAACGCCGAAG